rnacentral:lncRNA from 1 species
GGUUUUUCUCUUGUUGAUGUGAUCUAUCAUGUUGAUUGUUUUAUGAGUGUUGAACCAACCUUGCAUCUCAGGGAUAAACCCCAGUUGGUCGUGGUGAAUAAUCCUCUUAAUGUAUUGUUGGAUCCUAUUGGCUAGUAUCUUGGUGAGAAUUUUUACAUCCAUGUUCAUCAGGGAUAUUGAUCUAUAAUCCUCCUUUUUGUUGGGGUCUUUGCUGGUUUUGGAAUCAUGGUGAUUCUGGCCUCAUAAAACAAGUUUGGGUAUAUUCCAUCCCUUUCUAUCUUUCAAAACAGCUUUAGUAGAAUAGGUAUUACUUCUUUAAGCAUUUGAUAGAAUUCCCCUGGGAAGCCAUCUGGCACUGGACUUUUGUGUCUUGGGAGGUUUUUGAUGAGUGCUUCAAUUUCCUUGCUGGUUAUUGGCCUGUUCAGGUUUUCUAUUUCUUCCUGUUCCAGUUUUGGUAGUUUGUGGUUUUCCAGAAAUGCGUCCAUUUCUUCUAGAUUGCCUAAUUUAUUGGUGUAUAGCUGCUCAUAAUAUGUUUUAAAAAUCGUUUAUAUUUCCUUGGUAUUGGUUGUGGUCUCUCCUCUUUCAUGAUUUUAUUAAUUUGAGUCUUUUCUCUUUUGUUUUUAAUAAGGCUGGCUAAUGGUUUAUGUAUCUUAUUAAUUCUUUCAAAGAACCAACUCCUGGUUUUGUUGAUCUGUUCUACAGUUCUUCUGGUCUCGAUUUCAUUGAGUUCUGCUCUAGUCUUUAUUUCUUUUCUUCUGCUUGGUGUAGGCUUUACUUGCUAUUCUUUCUCCAGUUCCUUUAGGUGUGAGGUUAGCUUGUGUAUUUUUUUCCCAAUUUUUUGAGGGAGGCUUGUAUUGCGAUGUAUUUCCCUUUUAGGACUGCUUUUGCUGUAUCCCAAAGAUUUUGAAUGAUUGUAUCUUCAUUUUCAUUAGUUUCCAUGAAUCUUUUUAAUUCUUCUCUAAUUUUUGGUUGACCCAUUUAUCUUUUAGUAGGAUGCUCUUUAACCUCCAUGUGUUUGAGUUUCUCCCCAAUUUCUUCUUGUGAUUGAGUUCUAGUUUCAAAGCAUUGUGGUCUGAAAAUAUGCAGGGGAUUUCCCCAAUCUUUUGGAAUCAGUUGAGAUGUGAUUUGUGACCCAGUAUGUAGUCUAUUCUGGAGAAAGUUCCAUGUGUACUUGAAAAGAAUGUGUAUUCAGUUGCAUUCAGAUGGAAAGUUCUGUAUAUAUCUGUGAAAUCUAUUUGGUCCAGUGUAUUAUUUAAGGCCCUGGUUUCUUUGGUGAUGUUCUGCUUACUUCUGUCAUUUGCUGAAAGUGGGGUAUUGAACUCUCCUGCUAUUAGUGUAUUAUUAUCUAAGUAUUUCUUUACUUUGGUUAUUAAUUGCUUAAUAUACUUGGCAGCUCCCACAUUAGGGGCAUAAAUAUUCAUGAUUGUUAAGUCUUCUUGUUGGAUAGACCCUUUAAGUAUGAUACAGCAUCCCUCUUCGUCUUUUACUACAGUCUUUGGUAUAAACUUUAAUUUAUCUGAUAUGAGGAUUGCUACCCUAGCUUUCUUUUGAGGACCAUUUGAAUGGUAAAUGAUUCUCCAUCCCUUCAUUUUCAGGCUGGAGGUGUUCUUAGGUCUAAGAUGAGUCUCUUGUAGACACAUAUAGAUGGGUCUUGCUUUUUUAUCCAGUCCGAUACUUUGCGUCUUCUGAUGGGAUUAUUUAGCCCAUUCCUGUUCAGAGUAACUAUUGAAAGAUAUGAAUGUAGUGUCAUUGUAAUACCUAUUCAGUCCCUGUUUUGUGGAUUAUUUCUUUGGGCUUCCUCUUUCUUUUUACUCUUUCAAUUUACAGUAAAUAAAUUUCUUGCAGAGGUAGUUUGGUGGUCACAUAUUUUUUCAGUUUCUGCCUACCUUGGAAGUUCUUUAUCUCUCCUAUUCUGAAUGACAGCCUUGCUGGAUAAAGUAUUCUUGGCUGCAUGUUAUUCUCAUUUAGUACCCUGUAUAUAUCAUACCAGCCCUUUCUGGCCUGCCAGGUCUCUGUGGAGAGCUCUGCUGUUAAUCUGAUAUUCCUCCCCAUAUACGUUAAGAAUCUCUUGUCUCACACUGCUUUAAGAAUUUUCUCUUUAUCUUUGAAAUUUGCAAGUUUCACUAUUAAAUGUCGAGGUGUUGAAUGGUUUUUAUUGAUUUGGGGAGGGGGCGUCUCUACCUGAAUGCCUAUUUCCUUCCCCAGAUUUGAGAAGUUCUCAGUUAAUGAUUUGUUCAAAUAUACUUUGUGGUCACCCCUCUCUCUCAGCCUCUUCUGGAAUCCCAAUUAGAUGCAUAUUCUUCCUUCUCAAGCUAUCAUUUAUUUCCCUAAGCUUUUCCUCAUGGUUUCUUAAUUGUUUUUCUCUUUUUUUCCCAGCUUCCUUGCCAUCAACUUGUCUUCUAUGUGACUCACUCUCUCUUCUACUUCAUUAACCCUAGAAGUUAGAACAUCCAGAUUGGAUUGCUCUCAUUUCAUCUGUUUUUAAUUUCGGCCUGAUUAGAUCUCAAUUCUGUAGUAAUGAAGUAUCUAGAGUCCUUUAUGCUUUUUUCCAGUAACUUUAUAAUUGUACUUCUGAAUUGAAUUUCUGACAUCAUAUUUAAAUCUAAAUUCUGUAACUGUGGCAGAGUAUUGUUUCUGGUUCUUUGUUUUAUGGUGAAUUCUCCCUUCUAGUCAUUUUGUCCAGUGCAGAGUGGCUGUAUGAGUGGGCUGAGUCAAAAAUAUCAACCAUGACCAAGUAAAAUACACCCUAG